rnacentral:lncRNA from 1 species
CUCGGGGCUGGCCCGGUGGCCGAGUGGUUAAGUUCGCGCGCUCCGCUGCAGGCGGCCCAGUGUUUCGUCGGUUGGAAUCCUGGGCGCGGACAUGGCACUGCUCGUCGGACCACGCUGAGGCAGCGUCCCACAUGCCACAACUAGAGGAACCCACAACGAAGAAUACACAACUAUGUACCGGGGGGCUUUGGGGAGAAAAAGGAAAAAAUAAAAUCUUUAAAAAAAAAAAAAUCCAUAUUACCUGCAUGAGUGCCUAGAAUAUAGCAGGUAUAAAAAAAUAUUGUUGAAUGACAGAUAGAAGUAAUACAUCUACUAAUAUCGCCUUAGUUUGUGAACCCAUAGCAUUCCUAAUAACUCACAGAGACUACAAUCUCUCCUUGGUGAUAAGAAGAGUUUAGAAUUUAGAUCAACAUGUGCGGAAGACACAAGGCCCUAGUCGAGCGUAGCCUUGAGAUGAUUUCAGAGGUCAGAAGCACAAUCAUAUUCACCUCUGACACGGCUGAGCGGAACAUGCUGGAACACCUGGAUGUGCUGGACAUGAAGGACAGCUACAGGAAAGUAAGACCUCUGUACCAAACGCUUUCUUCCACUGUUUCUGAUAUUCUGCCUGGGAAACAGCAUGUUGCUGUUGAACCGUAGAGAAUGUAGGCGAUCUGUAAGGGGCUUAACAUUUCUCUGGGCUAUAUUCUGGAAAUCAAAACAAACCUUUCUGCACUGGAAUUCUCUAAAACUUUUCUGUUUGAUUCUAACAGUUCCAACCCUUGAAUUAAAGGCCAGAACACUCCUGUCUCAUGGUUUCUUAACCCUUCCCAGCCCUCCCCUCUCACCUCUACUCCCU